GUGGCUGCGUUAUUAGAAGGAGAUGUGUGUGGGAAAACCGAAGGGAGUGCCCAUCACCAAAGUGCCUGACGGGAGAAUUCAGGGAAGAUGGCAGUGUGCUCCGCAAUAUUCAGACGCAGGAACUGUGCACUUUGCUGCAAUGAGGAAGAUGUAUUGCACUACUGAGGGGGAUUCUUCUGAUGGGACAUCAAUCUGAAGCUCUCUUUGCUAGCUCCAGUGAUCCAGGAUUAAAUGUAUCACUGGUGACAAACAAAUGAAAGAUAUUGAGAAGGGUUGGCAUCUACAGAAAAUGGCAAGGAGUCACAUCGAGGAGGAAGGAGAGAUAGAAUUGGAAUUGCAUCGG